AGAAAGGGAAACCACAAGAUUCUUGAAGAGAAACAAAAGAAAAUUUUCGACUCAAGACAAGGUCCCCGACAUCUCCAGAGACACGGAACAACUUGUAACUUAUAACGGUCUUGAAAUCAAGGUUGCUUGCAAUACACUAAAGGCUGCGUAUGUUAUAGGCACAGAAGACUUCUUAUAUCGCUUGAGCAAAAGGAGGAAAACGCCGUUUCACAGUGGCUGUUCUCAAAGAGUGAGAAGAAUCUGUAGAUUGAUGGUUAGUUGAAUAGCCAAAGCUUCACUGCAUCGGAAAGAUGAAGGUUAGGCUCUUCUUUUCCAACUUAUGUUUCUUGAAACC